UACACCGAAGGAAGGACUUCUCAACAGAUCUCCUGUGGAAAGAGAGCAGAGAAUCAACGAGGGGCCCAGCGCUACUCGAAGCGGUCGCACCUAUUGCUGAUGGAAGAUCUGGCGGAGCCUGGCGAUCAGGUGGGCAGCUACCUCUUGAAGGAGAUGACAGCUCGUUCUGCCUCGAGUGAAGUGCUGCUGGCCUUUAUAUACCCUUCGCUGACUGCCGCCCCUCAAGCGUCGUGCGGUCGCCCUGGCAGGGAGAAGUGGAGGGUGGACUCCUGCUGCAGUGGCGACCUUCUCCUUCAUCAGGUCUGGAAGGUCUGGAAGUUCUGCGUCUUGGUCAUCCCUAGGUCUCCUCGUUGUUACCGGCAGCUCGUCGGGAAUUAUUUAAAUUAACAAAAUUUGUUAAUCGGACUCGCCCCGGACCAAUAUGAUGCUUGCGGGUCAGGGGCUCCUGGACGGCAGGUCUCCAACUCCACCUGCUCGAAGGCC